rnacentral:rRNA from 1 species
UCCGUAGGCGGACUAAUAAGUCAGGGGUGAAAUCCAACAGCUUAACUGUUGAACUGCCCUUGAUACUGUUAGUCUUGAAUCAUAUGGAAGUAGAUAGAAUGUGUAGUGUAGCGGUGAAAUGCUUAGAGAUUACACAGAAUACCGAUUGCGAAGGCAGUCUACUACGUAUAUAUUGACGCUAAUGGACGAAAGCGUGGGGAGCGAACAGGAUUAGAUACCCUGGUAGUC